rnacentral:rRNA from 1 species
UUUGAUUGACUGAGUGGCGGACGGGUGAGUAACGCGUGGAUAACCUGCCUCACACUGGGGGAUAACAGUUAGAAAUGACUGCUAAUACCGCAUAAGCGCACAGUACCGCAUGGUACGGUGUGAAAAACUCCGGUGGUGUGAGAUGGAUCCGCGUCUGAUUAGCCAGUUGGCGGGGUAACGGCCCACCAAAGCGACGAUCAGUAGCCGACCUGAGAGGGUGACCGGCCACAUUGGGACUGAGACACGGCCCAAACUCCUACGGGAGGCAGCAGUGGGGAAUAUUGCACAAUGGGCGAAAGCCUGAUGCAGCGACGCCGCGUGAGUGAAGAAGUAUUUCGGUAUGUAAAGCUCUAUCAGCAGGGAAGAAAAUGACGGUACCUGACUAAGAAGCCCCGGCUAACUACGUGCCAGCAGCCGCGGUAAUACGUAGGGGGCAAGCGUUAUCCGGAUUUACUGGGUGUAAAGGGAGCGUAGACGGCGAAGCAAGUCUGAAGUGAAAACCCAGGGCUCAACCCUGGGGACUGCUUUGGAAACUGUUUUGCUAGAGUGUCGGAGAGGUAAGUGGAAUUCCUAGUGUAGCGGUGAAAUGCGUAGAUAUUAGGAGGAACACCAGUGGCGA